rnacentral:rRNA from 1 species
AGAGUUUGAUCCUGGCUCAGAUUGAACGCUGGCGGCAGGCCUAACACAUGCAAGUCGAGCGGAUGACGGGAGCUUGCUCCUUGAUUCAGCGGCGGACGGGUGAGUAAUGCCUAGGAAUCUGCCUGGUAGUGGGGGACAACGUUUCGAAAGGAACGCUAAUACCGCAUACGUCCUACGGGAGAAAGCAGGGGACCUUCGGGCCUUGCGCUAUCAGAUGAGCCUAGGUCGGAUUAGCUAGUUGGUGGGGUAAUGGCUCACCAAGGCGACGAUCCGUAACUGGUCUGAGAGGAUGAUCAGUCACACUGGAACUGAGACACGGUCCAGACUCCUACGGGAGGCAGCAGUGGGGAAUAUUGGACAAUGGGCGAAAGCCUGAUCCAGCCAUGCCGCGAGUGUGAAGAAGGUCUUCGGAUUGUAAAGCACUUUAAGUUGGGAGGAAGGGCAGUAAGCUAAUACCUUGCUGUUCUGACGUUACCGACAGAAUAAGCACCGGCUAACUCUGUGCCAGCAGCCGCGGUAAUACAGAGGGUGCAAGCGUUAGUCGGAAUUACUGGGCGUAAAGCGCGCGUAGGUGGUUUGUUAAGUUGGAUGUGAAAGCCCCGGGCUCAACCUGGGAACUGCAUCCAAGACUGGCAAGCUAGAGUACGGUAGAGGGUGGUGGAAUUUCCUGUGUAGCGGUGAAAUGCGUAGAUAUAGGAAGGAACACCAGUGGCGAAGGCGACCACCUGGACUGAUACUGACACUGAGGUGCGAAAGCGUGGGGAG